rnacentral:rRNA from 1 species
GAUGAACGCUGACAGAAUGCUUAACACAUGCAAGUCUACUUGAUUCUACUUCGGUAGUUGAUGGUGGCGGACGGGUGAGUAACGCGUAAAGAAUCUGCCCUUAGUUUGGGAUAACCUUUGGAAACGGAGGCUAAUACCGGAUAUUAUGGAGACGUCGCAUGACGACUUCAUGAAAGCUAUAUGCGCUAGAGGAGGACUUUGCGUCCCAUUAGUUAGUUGGUGAGGUAAUGGCUCACCAAGACCGCGAUGGGUAGCCGGCCUGAGAGGGUGAUCGGCCACAAGGGAACUGAGACACGGUCCUUACUCCUACGGGAGGCAGCAGUGGGGAAUAUUGGACAAUGGGCUACAAGCCUGAUCCAGCAAUUCUGUGUGCACGAUGAAGGUCUUCGGAUUGUAAAGUGCUUUCAGUAGGGAAGAAAAAAAUGACGGUACCUACAGAAGAAGCGACGGUUAAAUAUGUGCCAGCAGCCGCAGUAA